rnacentral:tRNA from 3 species
GGCGGUGUAGCUCAGUGGUAGAGCACACGACUCAUAAUCGUGUUGUCGGUGGUUCGAACCCACCCACCGCCACCA